rnacentral:rRNA from 1 species
UUAGAGUUUGAUCCUGGCUCAAGAUGAACGCUGGCGGCGUGCCUAACACAUGCAAGUCGAACGGAGUUCUUAAGGAAAGCGGCUUCGGCCAAAUGACUUUUGAACUUAGUGGCGGACGGGUGAGUAAUACAUAAACAACCUGCCCCGAUGUCUGGGAUAACAGUUGGAAACGACUGCUAAUACCGGAUAAGUUACCUGAAGGCAUCUUCAGAAAACGAAAGAUGGGAUACAUCGCAACGGGAUGGAUUUAUGGCGCAUUAGUUAGUAGGUGAGGUAACGGCUCACCUAAACAAAGAUGCGUAGCCGGCCUGAGAGGGUGACCGGCCACACUGGGACUGAGACACGGCCCAGACUCCUACGGGAGGCAGCAGUAGGGAAUUUUCGGCAAUGGGGGAAACCCUGACCGAGCGACGCCGCGUGAGUGAAGAAGGCCUUCGGGUUGUAAAGCUCUGUUGUAAGGGAAGAAAUGUACGGAUAGGGAAUGAUCUGUGCUUGACGGUACCUUACCAGAAAGCCACGGCUAACUACGUGCCAGCAGCCGCGGUAAUACGUAGGUGGCAAGCGUUAUCCGGAAUUAUUGGGCGUAAAGGGAGCGCAGGCGGUUUAUUAAGUCUGAGGUUAAAGUUCGGGGCUCACCCCCGUGAUGCCUUGAAAACUGGUAAACUAGAGUGCAGGAAAAGGGAGUGGAAUUCCAUGUGUAGCGGGAAAAAUGCAUAGAUAUAUGGAGAAACCCCAGUGGCGAAGGCGGCUCCACGGCCCUAAAACCGAACCUAAGGCUCAAAAAGCGGGGGGAAACAAAAAAAAAAUAAAAACCC